rnacentral:rRNA from 1 species
UACGGGGGGGGCAAGCGUUGUUCGGAAUUACUGGGCGUAAAGGGCUCGUAGGCGGCCAACUAAGUCAAACGUGAAAUCCCUCGGCUUAACCGGGGAACUGCGCUUGAUACUGGAUGGCUUGAGAUUGGGAGAGGGAUGCGGAAUUCCUGGUGUAGCGGUGAAAUGCGCAGAUAUCAGGAAGAACACCCGUGGCUAAGGCGGCUCUCUAGUACGGUACUGACGCUGAGACGCGAAAGCGUGGGGAGCGAACAGG